GACGAAGGUCCCGAGCGUUGUUCGGAAUCACUGGGCGUAAAGGGAGCGUAGGCGGCGUGGUAAGUCAGAUGUGAAAUCCCGAGGCUCAACCUCGGAACUGCGUCUGAAACUACUCGGCUAGAGUAUUGGAGAGGGUAACGGAAUUCACGGUGUAGCAGUGAAAUGCGUAGAUAUCGUGAGGAACACCAGAGGCGAAGGCGGUUACCUGGACAAUUACUGACGCUCAGGCACGAAAGCGUGGGGAGCAAAAGGG
rnacentral:rRNA from 1 species